rnacentral:rRNA from 1 species
GACGAACGCUGGCGGCGUGCUUAACACAUGCAAGUCGAACGGUAAGGCCCUUCGGGGUACACGAGUGGCGAACGGGUGAGUAACACGUGGGUGAUCUGCCCUGCACUUCGGGAUAAGCCUGGGAAACUGGGUCUAAUACCGGAUAGGACCACUGCCUGCAUGGGUGGUGGUGGAAAGCUUUUGCGGUGUGGGAUGGGCCCGCGGCCUAUCAGCUUGUUGGUGGGGUGAUGGCCUCCCAAGGCGUCGACGGGUAGCCGGCCUGAGAGGGUGACCGGCCACACUGGGACUGAGAUACGGCCCAGACUCCUACGGGAGGCAGCAGUGGGGAAUAUUGCACAAUGGGCGCAAGCCUGAUGCAGCGACGCCGCGUGAGGGAUGACGGCCUUCGGGUUGUAAACCUCUUUCAGCACCGACGAAGCGCAAGUGACGGUAGGUGCAGAAGAAGGACCGGCCAACUACGUGCCAGCAGCCGCGGUAA